GACCCAUCCAUCCUCGCCGGUUUCACUGAAACCCAGAAAGGAGGACUGAUUUCUCCCCUCUGCAGAGGAGCAAGUGCUGAUUGAGAGAUUGGAAGAAAGCAGGGAAGUGGUGGCCUCCACCUGCCCUCUGCUCUCUGAACUGCUCUGCUCCUCCAAGAUGUUUGGAGCCCAACCCCUCUUCCUGAGACACUGCCGG
rnacentral:lncRNA from 1 species